CAAGGAAACUAAGCAGCCGCCGGUAUGGGAACAUACGGGAGGAAAGUCCGGGCUCCACAGGGCAAGGAUAGCGGGUAACACCCGCCCAUGGCAACAUGAGGACGAGUGCAACAGAAAUAAACCGCCGAGGAAUCGGUAAGGGUGGAAAGGCGAGGUAAGAGCUCACCGCGCCUCCGUGAGAACGGAGGGGCCUGUAAACUCUAUCCGGAGCAACACCGACACGGGGCAUAAGCCGGCCCGGCGGUCCCCGAACGGGUGGCGUUGAGCUGUUUGGCAACAAACGGCCCAGAUAGAUGGCUGCUCACGACAGAACCCGGCUUAUCGGUUAUGCCUUGCCGU
rnacentral:RNase_P_RNA from 1 species